CUAGGCAGCCAAUGUAAUUUUACUUCAACACAAACGUUAGCUGGUCGCCCACCCCCCAGAUGUCAAAAGGAAAAAAAACUAGCCCACUCCCCCGGUCCGUUCCUCUCUCCCUCCGGCUCUGGUGCUUCACGUCUCAUCAUUGCGGCGGAGGCAGCGGCAGCGACGGCACCGCACGGACGACCUGGCGGCGAGGACUACCUCUCUCGCGCGUGGAGUAGUUCCCUUUCCUCUCUCAUGCGGUAGCAACUGAGGCGCUAUGGACGGUGCAAGAUCCGGGCGAGCUCGGUAGGACAACGACGUUCUCCGGCGUCCCUCUCCAGCGUCGACGGUAUUAUCGCCAGGUUAUUGGUUUUUGGGAGCAGUGUGGGGAAAGAGGAAGAAGACCAAGAAAGGAAAGGAAAAUGAGAAGCUCGGGUGAUGGAGGUAAUUCUGGAGAAGAGCUCCUGGUGGUGGGAUCAAUUCAGGGAGGAGGUGGAUAUCAUAGCGGAGGAGAUGAAGGGUGUGUCGAUGACAUAGAAGAAGAGGAGGAGCUUAAGGCUGCGGAGAAAAAGGAACAACAGCAGAGUAUCAGACUUCGAUCUAGCUGAGGCAAACCAAUAAUUGAAAUUCUGCCAAGAAAUCUAGGAGCAGAAGAAGAUGUAUGCAAGGGACUUGGAGACAAGGCAAUGGUGCGCAGGCGGGAAAAUUAUUGUUCUAAUUGGUUUUGAAGCUUUGGGUGCCUGCGGCCGGCUCAACAGGUGGCAUCAGCAAGCGUCGGCCGGCCUUGGCACUACUGCGGGUGGUUAUAUGGUGCGCGGAGCACACCAGUGGGCUUCAACGUCGGGCACAUGGAUGGCUUUGGUGGGUGUCAUGGCCUUUCCAUUCUGAAUUGAAGUUGGUCUGAAAAUGUCGAACUCUGCCAUGGAACACAAAAGAUAUAACUUACCUUCAUAUGGAACACGACGUUGUUUCGAUGCCUCCAAAUGCAGCAGCAACAGAGCAGGAAGAAUAUCGAUGGCAAGGUGAGCGCCAUCUGGCAGAUUGUGAACAGAGGCCACGGAAGGUGGCUGGAACCCCAACAUGGCCCCAAAAUCAACCACCAACGGGCAGGCGGAGAGGAGGUGACUCGCCGACUGCAGUGGGGCAUGGCGGAGUGGGCAACUAUUCCACGCUCUAAAAUUCAGGUUUAUAGCAAUGAAAAAGGUGAUUUUGUUCCUCAAUCAUGCUUAACAUUUCUUUAGCAAACAAGCACUAGCAGCCCGUUUUCAGAUGUGCUUCUUGUUGGUUCAUGUAGACAUGCCAAUGAAGGCCUGGUAAAGAAAAACAGAAAAAAUACAGUAUAUUGGUUUAAUUGUUCUCUUGUGUAGACCAAAAUUAGCGAGUAAAGGAAAUAUGAUUUUGCUUCCAAAUUCUUUCUGCGAGCUUAUCCCAGGAAUAAUGUUUUGUUCCUAUUUGAGUUGGAACGUGUGACUUCCGGAGGCUACUCUUCCAUCCGAUGUUGCUGUUCAACAGCUCUCAAAGGCACAGAGCAAAUCAGUCGGGCUUUGACCAGAUGUCCAUCUCCAGAACCUUGAUUCCUAAUCCUACAGAGCUCUAUUCUGGCAAGUAGUACAUGUAAUUAGUUCUUGGAGGGUAUGCAGAUUGAAUUGCUAUAUUGCAGUCUGGACUACUACAAUUUGUUGAUAACCAUGGUCUGGAUGUAGAUAAUUUUGAGACAACAUA